UUUGUUAUGAUAUAAUAAAUGGGUAGAAAAGUUAUGACGGUGGCGACUUCCGAAAGGUGGUGGUGCUUAUGAAUGUAAGUACUGAAAUCUAUGAAAGGAGUAAGCCUUUUGUCUGCAUUGGAAACAAUCCAGCUCAUUCUAAGCUUUAGCAUGUUUGUUAUUGCUCUGAUUAAGCUAGU
rfam:Enterococcus rivorum strain LMG 25899 11, whole genome shotgun sequence.